GUUUAGUCGACAUGGUACUCUUAGAGUCCCAGAUCGGGGAAUUGAAACUGCUGGGAAAGAGAUGAGUGUCCAAUACGCUUGGAGGAGUUUCGUGUUGGAAACGAGGCGAGGUUUGCCUUGUGCUCACAAUUUUCACGUGGAGUGCAUCGACGAGUAGCUCUGGCUCAACGUGAAGUGCCCAAGAUGCUGUUGCUCUGAAUUCCCGAACCUCGACUCGAGUGCAUUGUCGAACAUCCACACAGAUACAGAGAGGCCCUCUAGCAAUGUUGCCACUGCAGUUCAAUACAUGAGAAACCAGACUCCUAGCCAGAGCUAUCUGUUGAGACUGCAGGGAUUGCUCCGCCCCGUAUGGUUGGAGAACAGCAGCAAGGGGGAUGCUGCAGAAACACCGUCGAGUCGAGGGCUGUCGCAUAGCUCGGAGCAUGUGCGGGUGGUUCAUGAAGAACCUACUAAUAGAUGAAAAAGGGCUGAAUUUUGUGUAUUAUUCGAUUGCACAUUGCACUGACAUUUCUUAUGAUUUAAUUUGAUCUACAUUUUUUAUAUUGA